rnacentral:rRNA from 1 species
CAUACCUAUUCGAAGGGAUAGGGUCGGCUCGGCCGGAUUUUACACAAGUGUCGCAUGGCUGUCGUCAGCUCGUGUCGUGAGAUGUUGGGUUAAAUCCCGCAACGAGCGCAACCCUCAUCCUUAGUUGUCAUCAGGUAAUGCUGAGUACUUUAAGGAAACUGCCAGUGAUAAGCUGGAGAAAGGUGGGGAUGAUGUCAAGUCAUCAUGGCCUUUAUGGAGUGGGCUACACACGUGCUACAAUGGUGUCUACAAUGGGUUGCAAGGUGCGCAAGCCUAAGCUAAUCCCUAAAAGACAUCUCAGUUCGGAUUGUACUCUGCAACUCGAGUACAUGAAGUUGGAAUCGCUAGUAAUCGUGGAUCAGCAUGCCACGGUGAAUACGUUCUCGGGUCUUGUACACACUGCCCGUCACGCCAUGGGAAUUGGUUUCACUCGAAGCU